GAUAACUGGUGUGUGGCAGCCAAGCGUUCAUAGCGACGUUGCUUUUUGAUCCUCCGAUGUCGGCUCUUCCUAUCAUUGAGUUGCAGAAGUCUCAAAGUGUCCCACACACAGUUAGGCGUGAUGCGAAAGGCCGAAUUGACGCAUUGGAUCUCAAUGGGUGAUGGCCAUCCUGCCUGAGAGUUUCUGGCCUGUUCUGGGUCGUCGCAAAUAUUGGAGCCACUCGUUUCGUUUCUCCACAUAUUUUG
rnacentral:ncRNA from 1 species